rnacentral:misc_RNA from 1 species
AAAAUUUAUUCUUUAAAAUUUUGGAAAAAAAGGAUAUUUACAACUUAUACAAUGAAUAAAAAUAUCUGAGACGGAAGAUGGCAAGUGCUGUAAGUAAAAUUAGAAAUCACACCCAAGGCUGUGAAUGAGCUGACCUGCAUGUUUACUAAUUUUUGAGUGACUCAGCCAAUAGCUCAAAUCAGCUCAAAUUGACACACAAUUUGCCAAGCCCCAGCUCAUUUGAUGAGCUCAUCAUGAAGAUAAACUGAAUUGAAGUUAUGGAAGGUUCAUAUUAUGGGCUUGUAACUAGUGCAUCUGUCAGUCCUAUGGAAUA